GAAGGCUUGCUAGCGCCAGGACUCGCCGGCAGGGCGCCGGCGAGUUGACGAGGACCGGGCGUAUCGAACCUUCGGCGGAUCGCCCGGCGGUCGGCCACGACCGAGAGCGGCCCGGCAAAUCCCGGGAGCGAUCCCGGGGACAAUACGGGCCAGGUGGCGUGA
rnacentral:ncRNA from 2 species